UCGCCUGAUUAACAAA
rnacentral:tRNA from 2 species